UCAGGUCGGAAAUCCAGCAGCGAAAAGCCUUCCUCGUACCAGC
rnacentral:SRP_RNA from 1 species